ACGCUCGACACCUACGAGAGGCAGCAGUGGGGAAUAUUGGUCAAUGGGCGCAGGCCUGAACCAGCCAAGUAGCGUGAAGGAUGACUGCCCUAUGGGUUGUAAACUUCUUUUAUAUGGGAAUAAAGUUUUCCACGUGUGGAAUUUUGUAUGUACCAUAUGAAUAAGGAUCGGCUAACUCCGUGCCAACAGCCGCGGUAAUCUGAGCGGGCUGGCAAGGC
rnacentral:rRNA from 1 species